UCUACCCUAUGGCCUGGAAUAACACGAGGAAACUUGUGCUAAUACUGGAUAAGUCUUUACGGAGAAAGCUUUAUGCACCAUUGGACGAGCCUGCACUUGAUUAGUUUGUUGGUAGGGUAAUGGCCUACCAAGACUGUGAUCAAUAGCUGAUUUGAGAGGAUGAUCAGCCACAUUGGGACUGAGACACGGCCCAAACUCCUACGGGAGGCAGCAGUGGGGAAUCUUGCACAAUGGAGGAAACUCUGAUGCAGCGAUGCCGCGUGAGUGAAGAAGGCCCUUGGGUUGUAAAGCUCUUUCGUCGGGGAAGAAAAUGACUGUACCCGAAUAAGAAGGUCCGGCUAACUUCGUGCCAGCAGCCGCGGUAAUACGAAGGGACCUAGCGUAGUUCGGAAUUACUGGGCUUAAAGAGUUCGUAGGUGGUUGAAAAAGUUGGUGGUGAAAUCCCAGAGCUUAACUCUGGAACUGCCAUCAAAACUUU
rnacentral:rRNA from 1 species